CCUACGGGAGGCAGCAGUGGGGGAUAUUGCGCAAUGGAGGAAACCCUGAUGCAGUGACGCCGCGUGAAGGAAGAAGGAUUUCGGUUUGUAAAGCGCUAUCAGCAGGGAAGAAAAAAGACGGUACCUGACGAAUAAGCCCCGGCUAACUACGUGCCAGCAGCCGCGGUAAUACGUAGGGGGCAAGCGUUAUCCGGAUUUACUGGGUGUAAAGGGAGCGUAGACGGAAAUACAAGUCGGAAGUGAAAUACCCGGGCUUAACCUGGGAACUGCUUUGGAAACUGCUUGGCUGGAGUGCUGGAGAGGUAAGCGGAAUUCCUAGUGUAGCGGUGAAAUGCGUAGAUAUUAGGAGGAACACCAGUGGCGAAGGCGGCUUACUGGACAGUAACUGACGUUGAGGCACGAAAGCGUGGGGAGCAAACAGGAUUAGAUACCCGUGUAGUC
rnacentral:rRNA from 1 species